AACGAACGCUGGCGGCGUGCUUAACACAUGCAAGUCGAACGGAAAGGCCCUGCUUUUGUGGGGUGCUCUAGUGGCGAACGGGUAAGUAACACGUGAGUACCCUGCCAUUGACUUUGGGAUAACUUCAGGAAACUGGGGCUAAUACCGGCUAGGAGCUCCUGCUGCAUGGUGGGGGUUGGAAAGUUUAGGCUGUUGGGGAUGGACUCGCGGCCUAUCAGCUUGUUGGUGGGGUAGUGUCUUACCAAGGCUUUGACGCGUAGCCGGCCUGGUAGGGGGACCUGCCACAUUGGGAUUGAGAUGAGGCACGGACUCGUCCGCGACGCAGGGGUGGGGAAGAGUGUACUAGGGACGGAACGCUAACGCAGCACAGCCGCGUGGGGUAUGUGGUCAUGCGGUUAGUAUUCCGCUUUCGUCUUUCACGAAACGUGAGUGACGGUAAUGGGUAAAGAAGCACCGGCUAACUACGUG
rnacentral:rRNA from 1 species